UACGUAGGGUGCGAGCGUUUGUCCGGAAUUAUUGGGCGUAAAGAGCUUGUAGGCGGUUUGUCGCGUCUGCUGUGAAAAUCCGGGGCUCAACCCCGGACUUGCAGUGGGUACGGGCAGACUAGAGUGUGGUAGGGGAGACUGGAAUUCCUGGUGUAGCGGUGAAAUGCGCAGAUAUCAGGAGGAACACCGAUGGCGAAGGCAGGUCUCUGGGCCACUACUGACGCUGAGAAGCGAAAGCAUGGGGGAGCGAACAGG
rnacentral:rRNA from 1 species